rnacentral:rRNA from 1 species
UACGAAGGGGGCUAGCGUUGUUCGGAAUUACUGGGCGUAAAGCGUGCGCAGGCGGCUUCUCAAGUCAGGGGUGAAAGCCCAGAGCUCAACUCUGGAAUUGCCUUUGAGACUGAGAGGCUUGAGUACGGGAGAGGUGAGUGGAAUUCCCAGUGUAGAGGUGAAAUUCGUAGAUAUCUGGAGGAACACCGGUGGCGAAGGCGGCAUCCUGGACCGGCAUUGACGCUGAGGCGCGAAAGCCAGGGGAGCAAACGGG